GAUGAAGAACGCAGCGAAAUGCGAUAAGUAGUGUGAAUUGCAGAAUUCCGUGAAUCAUCGAAUCUUUGAACGCACAUUGCGCCUUCUGGUAUUCCGGAAGGCAUGCCUGUCCGAGCGUCAUUGCUGCCCUCAAGCACGGCUUGUGUGUUGGGCCUCCGUCCUCCUCCCGGGGGACGGGCCCGAAAGGCAGCGGCGGCACCGCGUCCGGUCCUCGAGCGUAUGGGGCUUCGUCACCCGCUCUUGUAGGCCCGGCCGGCGCUUGCCGACACAUCAAUCUUUUUUCCAGGUUGACCUCGGAUCAGGUAGGGAUACCCGCUGAACUUAAGCAUAUCAAUAAGCGGAGGA
rnacentral:misc_RNA from 1 species